AUUGAACGCUGGCGGCAGGCCUAACACAUGCAAGUCGAGCGGGGGAAGGUAGCUUGCUACCGGACCUAGCGGCGGACGGGUGAGUAAUGCUUAGGAAUCUGCCUAUUAGUGGGGGACAACAUCUCGAAAGGGAUGCUAAUACCGCAUACGUCCUACGGGAGAAAGCAGGGGAUCUUCGGACCUUGCGCUAAAAGAUGAGCCUAAGUCGGAUUAGCUAGUUGGUGGGGUAAAGGCCUACCAAGGCGACGAUCUGUAGCGGGUCUGAGAGGAUGAUCCGCCACACUGGGACUGAGACACGGCCCAGACUCCUACGGGAGGCAGCAGUGGGGAAUAUUGGACAAUGGGGGGAACCCUGAUCCAGCCAUGCCGCGUGUGUGAAGAAGGCCUUAUGGUUGUAAAGCACUUUAAGCGAGGAGGAGGCUACUCUAGUUAAUACCUAGGGAUAGUGGACGUUACUCGCAGAAUAAGCACCGGCUAACUCUGUGCCAGCCGCCGCGGUAA
rnacentral:rRNA from 1 species